GAUGAACGCUGGCGGCGUGCCUAAUACAUGCAAGUCGAGCGAACAUACGAGGAACUUGCUCCUCUGACGUUAGCGGCUGACGUGUUAGUAACACGUGGGUAACCUACCUAUAAGACUGGGAUAACUUCGGUAAACCGGAGCUAAUACCGGAUAAUAUAUUGAACCGCAUGGUUCAAUAUUGAAAGACUGUUUUGCUGUCACUUAUAGAUGGAUCCGCGCCGCAUUAGCUAGUUGGUAAGGUAACAGCUUACCAAGGCAACGAUGCGUAGCCGACCUGAGAGGGUGAUCGGCCACACUGGAACUGAGACACGGCACAGACUCCUAAGGGAGGAAGCAGUAGGGAAUCUUACGCAAUGGGCGAAAGCCUGACGGAGCAAAGUGGAGUGAGUGAUGAAGGUCUUAGGAUCGUAAAACUAUGUAAUUAGGGAAGAACAAAUGUGUAAGUAACUAUGAACGUAUUGACGGUACCUAAUCAGAAAGCCACGGCUAACUACGUG
rnacentral:rRNA from 1 species